rnacentral:piRNA from 1 species
UCCAAAAAAAAAGACAUUGGCGGAAUGAU